GACGAUGGGUAGCCGGCCUGAGAGGGUGACCGGCCACAUUGGGACUGAGAUACGGCCCAGACUCCUACGGGAGGCAGCAGUUAAGAAUCUUGCGCAAUGGGGGAAACCCUGACGCAGCGACGCCGCGUGGACGAUGAAGGCCUUCGGGUUGUAAAGUCCAAUAAGCGGGGAAGAAUAAGCAACGGGUAAUAUUCGUUGUGAUGACGGUACCUGCCUAAAGCCCCGGCUAACUACGUGCCAGCAGCCGCGGUAAUACGUAUGGGGCUAGCGUUGUUCGGAAUUAUUGGGCGUAAAGGGCGUCUAGGCGGGGGAUUAAGUUAGGUGUGAAAUCCCUGGGCUCAACCCAGGAACUGCAUCUAAAACUGGUUCUCUUGAGUUCGGGAGAGGAGAGCGGAAUUCCCGGUGUAGCGGUGAAAUGCGUAGAUAUCGGGAAGAACACCAGUGGCGAAGGCGGCUCUCUGGCCUAGAACUGACGCUGAAGCGCGAAAGCGUGGGGAGCGAACGGGAUUAGAUACCCCGGUAGUCCACGCUGUAAACGUUGUAUACUAGGUGUUAGUGACUUGUUCACUAGUGCCGACGUUAACACAUUAAGUAUACCGCCUGGGAGUACGGCCGCAAGGCUUAAACUCAAAGAAAUUGACGGGGGCCCGCACAAGCGGUGGAGCAUGUGGUUUAAUUCGAUGGUACGCGAAAAACCUUACCUGGGCUUGAACUGUACAUGACAGGUGUAGAGAUACACUCUUCUUCGGACAUGUAUAGAGGUGCUGCAUGGCUGUCGUCAGCUCGUGUCGUGAGAUGUUGGGUUAAGUCCCGCAACGAGCGCAACCCUUACCCCUUGUUGCUAACAGGUGAUGCUGGGCACUCUAGGGGAACUGCCGGUGAUAAACCGGAGGAAGGUGGGGAUGACGUCAAGUCAUCACGGCCCUUAUGUCCAGGGCUACACACGUGCUACAAUGGCCGGUACAAAGAGAUGCAAUGCCGCGAGGUGGAGCAAAUCUCAAAAAACCGGUCUCAGUUCGGAUUGUAGUCUGCAACUCGACUACAUGAAGCUGGAAUCGCUAGUAAUCGUAGAUCAGCACGCUACGGUGAAUACGUUCCCGGGCCUUGUACACACCGCCCGUCACACCAUCCGAGUUAGCAGCACCCGAAGUGGCUGAUCCAACCUGCAAAGGGGGAAGGUUACUAAGGUGAAGCUGGUGAGGAGGGUGAAGUCGUAACAAGGUA
rnacentral:rRNA from 1 species